UUUCUUGCCCACCACAGCAGUGCCACAGUAAGUUGGGUGUCCUGCUUGAGCUGGCUGAAGGUGAAGUCCAUUUUCUACAUGCAGUGCGGUACAUUGUAAGUGAAACAGGGAUGCAAAGGGAUUGGAGGAGUAUAGAGGAGAGAUCUGGCACAGCUCCAGCUCUGGGCGUGCUGUGCUCCUGGGAGGAUCCAGGAGAUCCACCUUACCCAAAGCCAAUACAAACUACUCAAAGCUCAGUCAGAGGAUGCUUGAAUGAAGUUGGAAUCAAAUCCAUCCAUCUCCUUGGUUGUCAUGCAGGACAGCCCAGCAUCCUUGGCACCAGCAAGAGCACACAGGAGUGACAGAAGCCAUGGCCCACCUGCCUCCCCUCCUCUAAGCAUGGCCAUGUUUCUGUAAGGCACCAAGGUGGCGGAGAGUUGAAGCUCGCGGAUAUUGCAAAGGGUUAUUAGAUUCAUAAGUCACACCAAGUGGUGGGCGAUCCACUGAGCAAAGCAGAAGUUCUCACAUGAUGACUUCAAACAAGACACAUUACCUUCCAGCAUCUGUUGGAGAGACCAGGUUUUAAGACACUUCUGUCUCCAGGACAGCAAAGAAACAAUGUCAGCAGGAGGAAGAAGACACUGGAUGUCAAUGUGAGCACCAUACAGAGGACAUGCCGUGGCACUGACACAAUGGAUUUGAAGCACUACAGUCACUUGGCUGAAAUAACUAGGAGCAGGUCCUACUUAGUGCCCUUCUCCAGCAUCCGCAAUGGGGGCUGUCUUCAUUGGGCACCCAUGGGAAGCAGCGGUACUGUGGAUCCUUGCAUAUGGAUGUGGAAAUGAGGCUUUCUGGGUACCUCUAAGCUUGAAUUACAUCUUGUAGAAAGAGAGUCUCUGACCAGGGAAGUGUCUCCCCAUAAGGAUUUCUGUAUGCUUCACAAACUAGGACUUCACAGGCCCAGUCUUUUGGGGCUCCUUCAUACAGCAUUCUCCUGGAAGUCAACGUCUGCUGAAAACUAAGGAGCCCACAUUUGUAUGUGCAUUAGAACGCAAAGCAGAUCAUUAUUUACACCACUUUUUCAUUUUCCCGGCCAUCGAGCACUGACUGGUAAUAAUCCCCCAAGGGCUGAUUAUCCUGGCAAGAUGCAGCAGCACUCUGACCACACCUCUUCCCUAGGAAGAUCUCAGUACUGAGGCAAAAGACAGAGUGCUGGCAGAGCGGGAAUUUCAACACUUGGUUGCCUUCCUGGAACCGAUGGUCUUCAUGUCCACAGCAGAGCAGAGCUGAAUGCAUCUACCACCACGAUUUGUCGUGCAGUCCAGAACAUGCUCCCUUUCCAAAAUUAAAAGCUUGCUUUGAUUGCAAGCAGGCUUUCUGAACACGAGCUCUCCCCCUCGCUCCUGAGAGCAAGCCAGCAGAUGCUUUAGCGUCUCUACAGCACGACAUUCACUGCUGCUCAUCUGCAUGUCUGGUGUAAGAGAAGAGUCCCUCCUCCAGGAAUAACGUGUGUGUAAUGUAUUACGUUACAGCUAAUUAAAGCAGCCCCUGCUGCUGUUCAGCUUGACUGGUGGAUCAUUCAAAUAUUUGCAGGCAUUGUCCUAUGAACGCCGAAUAUUAAAGCUCUGCCAGCUCAGCCUCCUCACGAUGCAAAAAGCAGCUCAGAACACGCCACCUCGAGUGCCAUCAGGCACCGCUGUGACACGGCUGUACCUGGAAAGCUGAACUGUGUAGCAGGUAGAAGCCCAGCGUGCAAAUGAAAUGCAGAUAGCACCGUGGUGUGUUCCAGCUGCGCUCCCCUUGUUGGAGGCUGCACACAAAGGUCCACCUUGCAGCGCCAGCAAGCGGUACGAGGCUAUGCAGGUACAUGACGAGGGAAAGCAAUGGCUGACCCAUUCCUAAUGGAAUUUUGGAGGAGGAGGACUCGAGGUGCGAUUUUUAAAGAAGUUCUUAAAGCUGCAAAGGAUAUUAACCACCGGGAUUGUUUCCCUUAAUAUAUAUUAAAAGCAGUUUUAUAGAGGAGGCCUUCGGCGCGCUCAGGUUUCAAACACCGGGGCUGUUUUACGACGCCGCCGAUCCAAUAAAUGCAGGUGUUUCAUCCUGCAGCACGGCCUGCCCGGGGGCAGCAAUGAGACGCCCACAUUUCUCCCAGCACAAAGGAGUGGGUGCGACCCUCAGCCCAGAGGUGUUGAUCGCAGCGGGGAGAAGUGCUCUCGGGACGCUGGUCGUGUGGAAGGGUGAAAGCCCGAUCCUUGAGGGAACACGGGACGGGUGAUGCUGUCUUUACCGAGAUCGGAUGGAGCCACUCAAUCAGGGACUGCCAUUGCUGCGCACU